GAUGAACGCUGGCGGCGUGCUUAACACAUGCCAGUCGAACGAUGAAGCCCAGCUUGCUGGGUGGAUUAGUGGCGAACGGGUGAGUAACACGUGAGUAACCUGCCCUUAACUCUGGGAUAAGCCUGGGAAACUGGGUCUAAUACCGGAUAGGAGCGUCCACCGCAUGGUGGGUGUUGGAAAGAUUUAUCGGUUUUGGAUGGACUCGCGGCCUAUCAGCUUGUUGGUGAGGUAAUGGCUCACCAAGGCGACGACGGGUAGCCGGCCUGCGAGGGUGACCGGCCACACUGGGACUGAGACACGGCCCAGACUCCUACGGGAGGCAGCAGUGGGGAAUAUUGCACAAUGGGCGCAAGCCUUAUGCAGCGACGCCGCGUGAGGGAUGACGGCCUUCGGGUUGUAAACCUCUUUCAGUAGGGAAGAAGCGAAAGUGACGGUACCUGCAGAAGAAGCACCGGCUAACUACGUG
rnacentral:rRNA from 1 species